AGAAGCUAUAUUAAUGCAAGGAUUAUUAUUAUUACUGUAAAUUUCUACCGAUCGUACUUGAAUGGUGCUGGUUUGAUUACACAUUUUUAUAUAUUUAUAGAUCAAUGUUUCUUUAUGCACAGGGCACAUUUUGAACACUUGUUUACCUGUCUGCAAAAGAUCUUUCCAGGUUACAUCUCUCUACCCAUCUGCAGAUGCUGGUAACACAUUGGGAUAUUUAAAUAAUUCCUUAGCUCCACACGAAGAAAUCAUCGGAUCCUCUUAUCAAAGACAUCCAUUUAUUAUGCAGAUUCCAUGAGAAUUCCUUUCAGGCGAAUCGUGAGCAACAAUUCGAUAGGCCAGGACUCUUUCAGCUUUGAAAAGAAACACAUUGAGUGGACCUCAUAGUAGAAUCAGUCUGUACAGAAACCAGAAGUGUUCCUUCCAUUCCCGAGCUUCGUAAGAUCUUUAACCAAAUUAUAGAGCUGACCCGAGCUGAAGUUCGAUGGAUCGAAUGACCUCCUCCUAUAUGCCUUUAUGAUUUUAUGAGCACUCCUGCUUUUUUCUUUAAAAGAAAAGGUUGCUUUUCGCCAAACGAGCAAAAAAAAACGAAGAAACAGAAGCUCGCAGAGAUUGUUAUCGAACGUGUGUGACCAGAUUCCCGAUGUAACACUGCUUACGGCUACUUCGUAAAGUAAAUGGGGAAACAAUAAAUGUCAACGUAGGAGGUUUUGUUUUAAUUGCGAGACUUCAUUAAAAACAUCUGUCUGACCCAAGGAAUCGGUUAGCUUUUGUGUGUGUGUCCCAUGUGCUAAUAGCUGUCGUGAAAGGUCUGGCGAUAUGGAACAUAAAACACACACACACACACAACUCCCACAUUAACAAGUAAUUGAAACUUGUGGCUUCACUGUCUGCAAACAGAAUGCGGUUGUCAACAGCUCACUGUAUCACGGAGUUGUUUCGCUAUUGGCCAGCAAUAAUAAUAAUAUAAUAAUAAUUAACAAUAAUAUAAUAAUUAU